UGCGUAGGCGGCUUUGCAAGUCAGAUGUGAAAUCUAUGGGCUCAACCCAUAGCCUGCAUUUGAAACUGCAGAGCUUGAGUGAAGUAGAGGCAGGCGGAAUUCCCCGUGUAGCGGUGAAAUGCGUAGAGAUGGGGAGGAACACCAGUGGCGAAGGCGGCCUGCUGGGCUUUAACUGACACUGAGGCACGGAAAGCGUGGGUAGCAAACA
rnacentral:rRNA from 1 species